rnacentral:rRNA from 2 species
AGAGUUUGAUCCUGGCUCAGGAUGAACGCUAGCUACAGGCUUAACACAUGCAAGUCGAGGGGAAACGGCAUCAAGCGCUUGCGCCUGAUGGACGUCGACCGGCGCACGGGUGAGUAACGCGUAUCCAACCUGCCCCACACUAAGGGAUAACCCGCAGAAAUGUGGACUAAUACCUUAUAUUUUCCACCAAGGGCAUCGUCGAUGGAACAAAGAUUUAUCGGUAUGGGAUGGGGAUGCGUCCGAUUAGGUUGUUGGCGGGGUAACGGCCCACCAAGCCUUCGAUCGGUAGGGGUUCUGAGAGGAAGGUCCCCCACAUAGGAACUGAGACACGGUCCUAACUCCUACGGGAGGCAGCAGUGAGGAAUAUUGGUCAAUGGGCGUGAGCCUGAACCAGCCAAGUAGCGUGCAGGAAGACGGCCCUAUGGGUUGUAAACUGCUUUUAUGCGGGGAUAAAGGAGUCCACGUGUGGAUUUUUGCAGGUACCGCAUGAAUAAGGACCGGCUAAUUCCGUGCCAGCAGCCGCGGUAAUACGGAAGGUCCGGGCGUUAUCCGGAUUUAUUGGGUUUAAAGGGAGCGUAGGCCGCGUUUUAAGCGUGUUGUGAAAUGUAGGCGCCCAACGUCUGCAUCGCAGCGCGAACUGGGACGCUUGAGUACGCGCAACGUUGGCGGAAUUCGUCGUGUAGCGGUGAAAUGCUUAGAUAUGACGAGGAACUCCGAUUGCGAAGGCAGCUGACGGGAGCGGCACUGACGCUUAAGCUCGAAGGUGCGGGUAUCAAACAGGAUUAGAUACCCUGGUAGUCCGCACAGUAAACGAUGGAUGCCCGCUGUGUGCCAAUUAUGGUACGCGGCUAAGCGAAAGCGUUAAGCAUCCCACCUGGGGAGUACGCCGGCAACGGUGAAACUCAAAGGAAUUGACGGGGGCCCGCACAAGCGGAGGAACAUGUGGUUUAAUUCGAUGAUACGCGAGGAACCUUACCCGGGCUUGAACUGCCGGUGCACGAUCCAGAGAUGGUGAGGCCCUUCGGGGCGCCGGUGGAGGUGCUGCAUGGUUGUCGUCAGCUCGUGCCGUGAGGUGUCGGCUUAAGUGCCAUAACGAGCGCAACCCCUCUCCGUAGUUGCCAUCAGGUAAUGCUGGGCACUCUGCGGAUACUGCCACCGCAAGGUGCGAGGAAGGUGGGGAUGACGUCAAAUCAGCACGGCCCUUACGUCCGGGGCUACACACGUGUUACAAUGGGGGGCACAGCGAGUUGGCCGCGCGCAAGUUCGGUCCAAUCAAGAAAUCCCCCCUCAGUUCGGACUGGGGUCUGCAACCCGACCCCACGAAGCUGGAUUCGCUAGUAAUCGCGCAUCAGCCAUGGCGCGGUGAAUACGUUCCCGGGCCUUGUACACACCGCCCGUCAAGCCAUGAAAGCUGGGGGUGCCUGAAGUCCGUAACCGUCAAGGAGCGGCCUAGGGCAAAACCGGUGAUUGGGGCUAAGUCGUAACAAGGUA